rnacentral:rRNA from 1 species
AUUGAACGCUGGCGGCAUGCCUUACACAUGCAAGUCGAACGGCAGCGCGGACUUCGGUCUGGCGGCGAGUGGCGAACGGGUGAGUAACGUAUCGGAACGUACCAUUCAGUGGGGGAUAACGCAGCGAAAGUUGCGCUAAUACCGCAUAUUCUGUGCGCAGGAAAGCAGGGGAUCGCAAGAACUUGCGCCGAUUGAGCGGCCGAUAUCAGAUUAGCUAGUUGGUGAGGUAAAGGCUCACCAAGGCGACAAUCUGUAGCGGGUCUGAGAGGAUGAUCCGCCACACUGGAACUGAGACACGGUCCAGACUCCUACGGGAGGCAGCAGUGGGGAAUUUUGGACAAUGGGCGCAAGCCUGAUCCAGCCAUGCCGCGUGAGUGAAGAAGGCCUUCGGGUUGUAAAGCUCUUUCGGCCGGGAAGAAAUCGUAUGGGUUAAUACCCUGUGCGGAUGACGGUACCGGCAUAAGAAGCACCGGCUAACUACGUGCCAGCCGCCGCAGUAACAC